AUUGGCAGCGAUUAUGGCACUCAACCUCUAGUCAGAAGCACGACGGACUCCGGGGCAGUACCGGACAGGUCCACCACGAACCGAUGGCCUUUGGCCACCUCGUCAACAACGCCCCCCGUCGUGCCGAACGGCCGGGGUCGUCGGUUCUUGAUGGGCCUGAAACAGGAUCGACGGCGUGAGGACGAUUAAAGCUGUGCUCGGCCUGACCUACCGCAACGGGUCAAACCUUGGAACUGCGAACGACAAUCGCAAUCCCGCCGAGGCCAUGCCGCUCGCGGCGUAGCUGAAGCGCGGUCAGACGGCACCGGGCAACAGAA
rnacentral:tmRNA from 1 species